rnacentral:rRNA from 1 species
CCUACGGGAGGCAGCAGUGAGGAAUAUUGGUCAAUGGACGAGAGUCUGAACCAGCCAAGUAGCGUGAAGGAUGACUGCCCUAUGGGUUGUAAACUUCUUUUAUAUGGGAAUAAAAUGUUCCACGUGUGGGAUUUUGUAUGUACCAUAUGAAUAAGGAUCGGCUAACUCCGGGCCAGCAGCCGCGGUAAUACGGAGGAUCCGAGCGUUAUCCGGAUUUAUUGGGUUUAAAGGGAGCGUAGGUGGAUUGUUAAGUCAGUUGUGAAAGUUUGUGGCUCAACCGUAAAAUUGCAGUUGAAACUGGCAGUCUUGAGUACAGUAGAGGUGGGCGGAAUUCGUGGUGUAGCGGUGAAAUGCUUAGAUAUCACGAAGAACUCCGAUUGCGAAGGCAGUUCACUGGACUGCAACUGACACUGAGGCUCGAAAGUGUGGGUAUCAAACAGGAUUAGAUACCCUUGUAGUC